rnacentral:misc_RNA from 1 species
GAAGUAAAAGUCGUAACAAGGUUUCCGUAGGUGAACCUGCGGAAGGAUCAUUACCUAGAGUUGUAGGCUUUGCCUGCUAUCUCUUACCCAUGUCUUUUGAGUACCUUACGUUUCCUCGGUGGGUUCGCCCACCGAUUGGACAAAUUUAAACCCUUUGCAGUUGAAAUCAGCGUCUGAAAAAACUUAAUAGUUACAACUUUCAACAACGGAUCUCUUGGUUCUGGCAUCGAUGAAGAACGCAGCGAAAUGCGAUAAGUAGUGUGAAUUGCAGAAUUCAGUGAAUCAUCGAAUCUUUGAACGCACAUUGCGCCCCUUGGUAUUCCAUGGGGCAUGCCUGUUCGAGCGUCAUUUGUACCUUCAAGCUCUGCUUGGUGUUGGGUGUUUGUCUCCUGUAGACUCGCCUUAAAACAAUUGGCAGCCGGCGUAUUGAUUUCGGAGCGCAGUACAUCUCGCGCUUUGCACUCAUAACGACGACAUCCAAAAGUACAUUUUUACACUCUGACCUCGGAUCAGUAGGA